GUUCAUUCUCACUGUCCAGAAAUGGCUCCAGGCUGAGUUGCACCCUCAAAGCUUUCCUCUGUUUCACCUCUGUUCAGACCCAAUGCAGGCCCCUUGCAGCCCAGAGGAAUAAAGAGAUGCCUAGAAAGAGGCCGUGGCCACUUGUUCUCUUUUGUUUUCUUCACUGCGGAGGACUGAGCAAGCCCACUAUCUGAGCAAUGUGGAAAUUCCAGCCCUCACAGGGCUUCACACCUUCAAGGGGAAGAACAUUGCGCCAUGAAACUUCCUUGCUCUAGGCCUGCCAGGAGUUGAAAGAUCACCUGGACCACUCCAUUCAGUUUACAGAAGACGACACUGAGGUCUCGAGUGAGGGAUUAAGUACCCAAGAUGUCACAGCAGAUAAUGGCAGAGUCAUGAUUUCUAACAAACAAACAGAAGAAGCAAGUCCCCUGCCUGUCGUCAGCCGGAGCCCCUCUGCUACGCCUGCUCCCCUGUUUCCCAUGGACUGCCUCAUCUUUUGCCUCUAGUUUGAGCCUGAAAGUUACACCUCCAAUGAAUGAAACUCACAGGAUCAUUGGCAUCCAGUCUUCCUCCUCCACACCCACUCUCGGCCACCUGCCCUUCUCAUCCACAGGUGGGAGCAAAGCUUGGUCAACCUGAUAGGCCUCUUCCAGGCAGGGACAGGAGAAGGGACGGCACAGCAGCUCUGAGUCAGGACUCCUUUCGGUAAGGCGUGGCCGCCAGGAAGGCCUGAGAGAAGGAAACCAGCCCAGGUGCGCUCUGUUUACCUUCUCGGCUCACAAACAUGACCAGACCCUCCUUGGCUGGCUGGAUGAAGUCCCAGCCACUUAGUCCAGCCCUCGAGCCUCUCCCAUUCCAGCCACAGUCUGCCUGGCCAGUUCCAUCCCCCUACGGCUUUCCUGGUGUACCACACCAUCCUCGGAUUGCAGCUCGCCCUCUUGGGCCUUUCUGGCCUAGCAGGUGCUGUUCCUUCAGCUCCAAUGCCCUUCCCUGCCUCUCCACCCGGCAAGCUCCUUCUCUUUGUAUCUUCUGCACUAACACUUCCCUCCUCCCUCCCCUUCCCCUCUUUUUCCUUUGUGCCCCGGUGGCACUUCUGAGACAAUGUUACAAGCAUAAUAAAAUAACAAAAUCAU
rnacentral:lncRNA from 1 species